CUUGAGGUUAACUCCCACAUGAAUACAUCAUGAGAAUAACUCUCCUUCCAUAUGAUUCAAAAAAUGGUAUGAUGGUGGAACUCAAUCGGGUUGCUAGACUAAUGUGGCGUUGGUGCGUGCAUCUGGAUGUACGUCAGUGUUCACAGCCAGAGGAAGUGGGUUGUUACAGGCAGAGGCGGAUUAGGAUGAGUAUGUCACGAUUAGGAGAGUUCUCUUGAUCUUUAUCGGAAAAAUUGAUAGUUUCCUUGAUUUGUUUUGGUCUAGAUUAGCAAAGCAGUGCACUGAUAUUUGUUCUGUGGUGUAGGAGCUUCAAGACAGCAGGGGCAGCAGGCUUCGCUCAACAUAUUCAUCUAUGAUUUUCUCCCUGAUUUUGAAAUUAUUUGGCCCCUAUAGUCCCCUUGAGAAAAAUCAGAAUAUUUAUGGACUAUGCUCUACUGGUUGACAAAUUUGAUUGCAGGGGCUGGCAAAGUAAGUGCAGUGUCACCGUUGCACAUAUAUUCAGGGCCACAUCAAAUUUCAGUCAGAAGAACAUGACCAGGCAGGGUGCUUCAUGCAGUAUUGGGAGUGAGAAAGUUUGAUGUAUAAUCAGUGUCGCCUCCACUCUGCCCCGCCCCUGUGCUUUUUCCUCGAUGGAAAUGCGGGCCACCAUGCCGCUCACUUCGCGUGCAACCACUUCAUCUCCAACCUGUCGUUGGAGAGCAUUGCAGACCGAGCGGACAAAUGACGAGGUGUAGCAGCACAACCUUGCCUCUUCCCCUUACUAUCCUUCACAAGCGAGCCAAAGACACCCCAAGUUGUGGCACCCGUCUGAGGCCAGCCUUGCUUGGCAUACAUGGCUGCAUACAUGUGAUGGGAAACAUGCAUGGAAGCUUGGGCCUGGAUAUGCAAUUAUGCCUUCCUAAGUUUUACUGAUGCAAUUUCUUUUUGAAAGAGCCCUGAAAUCAUUUACCCUUUUGCUCCUGAGAAUUGUUUACCAUUGUGAAUUGUAUCAAUGGUCGAAAUGGUCAAUUAACGACAUAGACCGAGAUACCAUAAAACCCCUUCAGUAGAUCGACUGAAAUAUGAACAUUCUUGGCCCAAAGUUACAGGAUUGCACCAAUUAAUUGCUAACCUCUUGGUUUUAAUGAUAAUUGUUCUACCAUAUGUGUUUUUUCUACUAGCAUCCCAUCCACAAUGUCAGUUGGAAUUAUAUAUAUAUAUCUUAGACAGUUAGUGAGAUGUAUUCUGCGAGAUGUGUUCAAAUCUCUAUAUUUUUCCAUGAUAUUAACAAUUUUUCUUUGAAUGUUUAAGUGAACGUUCUCUAAAAUUUCAUUUUCAGUUAAGUCUGGUCUUUCUUUGGGUAAUUUAUAUAGUAAGGUCUGCAAGAAUUGAAUGCAGAUCAACUAUUCCCCCCCUUUGCAUUUACUGCAAUGCAUAUUUACCUGGAGCUAGCAUCACAUACUGUAUGUCAAGUGCCAAGUCAGUUUUCACUAAAUACAAAUUAAAAAUAUAUAUAUGAACCUUUUCAUUAGCUUUGGCUGCACGUUUCUGGAUAAUGUCAAUAUCAAUAUUUGUAAGUACUCUUAUGAACUCAUAUGAUGCAUCUCCCACUUUUUUUUAUCUGCAAGGUACCUGACAUAGUGUUUGGACAGACUUAUUUCUGGUAGUAACUUCUCCAUUGUGAAACUACUUUCCACUACAGUAGCUUGCGGACAAUGUCGGCUACUACAAGACCGAGACCUGCAUUAAAAGAUGAUUACAUUUAGGAGUGAAUGGUGAAGAAAAUCACCAAAAUGGAAGGAGUUCUGUAUUAUGAUCUAUUACAAUGUGCUUGAAGCAAUACAGAACCAUGAUUAUACUUGGUAUAGUACAAACUAAAUGUACAAUACAGACUUCCAAGUAGAAUCUUUGGCCUACAGCUCACCUGUUACUUGGGUGGGACAACCAAUGUAUAGAUAAGAAAUGCCGAAACGAAGAUAAUCACCCCUACUAAGGUCACAUAUUUGUUCGGUGAGAACUCUGAGAAUAGGGUCUUCUUCCCUUUCUUCUUAAAACUAGACCAAGCCUUAUCCCAUUCGGUUGAUGAUGUAUCACCUGAAAAGUUAGAUAAGAGAAAUGAUUCAACCUGCAAACA